AACCCAUGAUGAGGACAUUUCCCCAUUAGAUCCUUUAAUCUAUCCCAUGUCUCAAAAAGAGACUUCAAUUUUGUUUGCACAAAAGAAGAUAUCUCAAACCUAAGCUU